rnacentral:lncRNA from 1 species
GAACGGCGGCCAUCCUCGUCGAGGACGCACGGUGUGGCGACCUGUGCGCCAGCCUCGUGGACGACGUGCUCGUCCCGGGUUCGGACGGCCAAUGCCGUCGCGCCGGAGUCGUCAGUGCAAGGCCGGCGUCGGGCACGCGCAAGGUACGCACGCUGGGCAUGCAUUCUUCAGGUCGCGCGGAGAGUUUGCAGGUCUUGGAUCGCGGCCGUGACAGCUCAUGGGUCUUGAACUCUCGAUGAAUGUACGCAGGCUUGUUACGCAGCGGCAGGGUUCGUCGCCGUCGGUUGCCUCUGCUCUUACCUGUCCUGGAGGUGCCACACGAGCAAACACUAGAUCUUUGUUCCUCUAUCUUUUGUUUAUUAUUGUUUUUUUUAGAAUCAUCUUUUGUUGAUUGGUUUGGGAGGGCUUGCCGCUCGAUAGAUUUUUUUUCAUGAUAAUACGUGUCUCAUUCAUAAUAUAAAGAUCAAAAUACAAGUCACGAUUGACA